rnacentral:snRNA from 1 species
GAAAACUUUUCCCAAUACCCCGCCAUGACGACUUGAAAUAUAGUCGGCAUUGGCAAUUUUUGACAGUCUCUACGGAGA